rnacentral:rRNA from 1 species
AAUGAACGUUGGCGGCGUGGAUUAGGCAUGCAAGUCGUGCGGCAAGGAAGACUUCGGUCUUCCCUAGAGCGGCGAAAGGGAUAGGAAUACAUAGAUACAUGCCUCUUAGCCCGGGAUAGCGUUUGGAAACGAACGAUAAUACCGGACGCCCUCUCCGGAGGAAAGGUGAGAUUCCGCUAAGAGAUUGGCCCGCGGCCCAUUAGCUAGUUGGUAGGGUAAAGGCCUACCAAGGCAAUGAUGGGUAUCCGGCCUGAGAGGGUGAUCGGACACAUUGGGACUGAGAUACGGCCCAGACUCCUACGGGAGGCAGCAGCUAAGAAUAUUCCGCAAUGGACGAAAGUCUGACGGAGCGACGCCGCGUGGAUGAUGAAGGCCGAAAGGUUGUAAAAUCCUUUUGAACUGGAAGAAUAAGUAGAGUAGGGAAUGACUUUAUGGUGACAGUACAGUUUGAAUAAGCAACGGCUAAUUACGUG